rnacentral:rRNA from 1 species
GAUGAACGCUGGCGGCGUGCCUAACACAUGCAAGUCGAGCGAACGGACGAGAAGCUUGCUUUUCUGAUGUUAGCGGCGGACGGGAGAGUAACACGUGGAUAACCUACCUAUAAGACUGGGAUAAUUUCGGGAAACCGGAGCUAAUACCGGAUAAUAUUUUGAACCGCAUUGUUCAAAAGUGAAAGACGGUCUUGCUGUCACUUAUAGAUGGAUCCGCGCUGCAUUAGCUAGUUGGCAGGGUAACGGCUUACCAAGGCAACGAUGCAUAGCCGACCUGAGAGGGUGAUCGACCACACUGGAACUGAGACACGGUCCAGACUCCUACGGGAGGCAGCAGUAGGGAAUCUUCCGCGAAGGGCGAGAGCCUGACAGAGCAACGCCGCGUGAGUGAUGAAGGUCUUCGGAUCGUAAAGCUCUGUUAUUAGGGAAGAACAUAUGUGUUAGUAACUGUGCCCAUCUUGACGGUACCGAAUCAGAAAGCCACGGCUAACUUCGUG